CUUCCCCACUUCCCCCACACCCCAACCUUGCACACCCAAGGUCUGCCUCAACAACCAGUGAGUAUCCUUUCCGUCUCUCCCAGGUCCGCGUGUCCAGGAGUCCAUCUGUCCGCCUUCAGAUAUUCUCCCUUCCCCACUUCCCCAAGGUAUCCUCGCCUUUCCCAGGUCCAUGUGUCCAGGAAUCCAUCCGUGGGCCCCCGGAUGUCUCCCC